GCUGACAGUAGUAAAUUGUAUAUAACCAAGUUUACUUUCCUCGUGAGUUCUAAUGGGUUGAAAUCAGGUAUCAGAGUUUAGUGCCAUCCUUGGCAACGUCUGUUUUUGUUGCUGCAGUAGAUUAGAUUGGAUAAAGUUGUAUUAAAUUAAUGAAAGAAGAAUAUACGAAGGGCAAGACAGUGCAGCAAGGAUGGACCGAUGAUUAUAUCCAAGUGGAAUUGAAGCAAUCUGCAUGUGCAAAUCCAGAAAUACAUUUCCAUCCACAUCAGCCAAAUAGUUUCCAAUAGACCUCUGAUAGUCAGCAAAGUACUGUACACUUCCAGCUUGCUAAAAUUGAGCAGUACAAUUCCAAAAUGGAGAAAGCAACAGUUGUAGGCAAAACAAAUCUCUAAAGAUUGCGUAUAAUUAAGUAAAAUUAAACCUGCAUCUUGCUCAAUUCUUCAAGAAGAGCUUUAGAUCUCGGUCCUGGAAUUUCUGUUAGCGUAAAAGGUUUGGCUGGCUCUCCAGGCAAUGGACUUUUGCUCGCACUGCAUACUUCCGAGAAUGAAUUUUUUGCAUAGUACAAUAUAAGUGGCCUCGCGCGAACAAGCCUUACAUUCUUCCAAAACAUCGUUAACAACAUCCCUCAUAAAAUGCCUCCAAAAGAAAAUAUAAAUUAUACAAGAAAUAGUACAUACAAAUAUGCAAGGGGCUUUACUAGUGACACAUGUCUACAGUUUCUCUUGUUUUCACUACAUUCAUUUUUUUUCUCUGAAAACAAUGGAAUUCAAAAUUACACUUUCUUCCUCACACACUCUACAGGGGUGAUGAUCCCGACUAAGGCUUUUUGCACUCACUUAAUCGCAAAUAAAAUAAAAAGGGGCAAAUUAACACAUCAGACACAUACUUCUUACUAAUUUAUAUUGUAGUGCAAUAAAAACAACAAAGUUUAUGAUUAAAAUUAGUACAAAUAUAUUUAUUAUAAACUAUGUAAUAUUAGGUUCGGAUGAAUAUAGUUAGGUAAUCACA